CAGUUGCUCUUCCUCCCCCCAAGAACUGUACUGAAUCCUACCCUAAAUUCGCUUGGUGUGACACCCGACAAUUGGUCUCUCCAGGAACAUAUAUGCAGUCCUUUAGGCUUCAGGAAAGGACCAACCACUAUCGGCACGUCAUUUUCCUUCUUACUGAAUUAUGUCGAGCCGCUUGGAUGGGAGCCGUGUGUAUCUCCGUCGCCUGAUGGAGUAAUGAUGGUGGCAAAAACUUAAUGGUUGAAACCCAGGAGCUUGAAGAUGCAGCGGCUGGGAACCGGAGGAAAAGAACAUGGCGUGGCAUCAUCCCCUCCGUAGGAUGCCGCCAAGCACCUAGGCAAAUACUGUACUUAAAAAUACGAAUGUACUUAAAAACCAUGGAGAAACAUCUUCCUUUCAGCAAGACUGUACUUAAA